UUUAACCCUUUGUCAACAGUAUAUUAAUAAAGAUAGGAAACAGCAUGGAAGAUGCAUGCACUCCGUCUCUUCCUAGCAGCUCCCUUCUUCCUCCCGGGGUGGCUCCCAUCAAACCACAAUACAUCCAAAAAAGACCUCUGGAAGUGACCACGCCCCAGACCGCCCCUGAAGCUCCUCCCACUAAGAAAAGGAGAGGACAGAAUAAGCACAGACCCCCGACUCGACUCGAUUUCUCACAACAACUCUGCCCGUCUUUUCAUGCAAAGGAUUACACGUGUCGGUUUGGAGAUAAAUGUCGUUACUCACAUGAUGUGAAAGGUUAUUUAGAGUCCAAGCCACCCGAUAUAAGUGACAAAUGUUACAUGUACACCACUUAUGGGAUGUGCCCUUCUGGUAUUGCCUGUCGCUUUGGCUCCUCCCAUAUCUCAGCUGAAGGGGAAAACAUCAUCAAUAAGAGUUUGUAUGAUGAGAAGAGAAUAAAGUCUGUAUCCAAUGUAAUAGAGAAGUCACUUCAGAUUGCAUUAAGGAAGAAGAAAGUUUCCUUCCCUCGCUCUGAGGAAUAUUUGAAAUCUUUAGAACCAAAGAAAAACCUUACGGGGCCAUCAUCAGGUGAUGCCAAAAACUCAAUUACUGAAGAGGAGAAACUCAAGGAAGAAGAGACAAGUAGUAUCAAUGAAGAGGGUGUAGUGGGUAAUAAUGGAGGAGGUGAUAGUGAAGGAGAGAGACUAAGAGCUGAGGAAGAGGUAAAAGAGAACUGUCUUGAAGGAGAUAAAGGAGAAGAUGGAAGCAUCAAAGAAGAGAAAGAAACUGAUUCUACUAAGACUGUAACCCCAGUUAGAGAAGGAAUACAACAGUGUGAAGGCACUUUAGAUCAUAAGAUGGCUAGUGAGACUGGAUCAGCUAUAGAAGAUGCAGCAAAGUUACCACAAGGAGCAAUCACUGAUGGCCUCACUACUGGUUCAUCACUCACUGCUCCUCCAGAGAAUAGUGAGGAAAUGAGUAUUGGGACUAGUGGACCGUGUACUGAUGAGGAUAGGAUAUCACUCAAACCACGAGAGAAGAAAAAGGUUGACUUCAAUAACAAGCUUUAUUUGGCUCCUCUUACUACCGUAAGUUGGUAACCUUCCCUUUAGAAGGAUAUGCAAGAGGUUUGGUGCUGACAUCACCUGCAGCGAAAUGGCAAUGGCAUUCAACUUACUUCAGGGUCAGCAGAGUGAGUGGGCAUUAGUGAAGAGACAUGAAUCGGAGGACAUUUUUGGCAUCCAGGUUUGUGGUUCUUCGGUUGAUGUAAUGACUCGCUGUGCUGAGCUCAUUAAUAUUCAUUGCUCUGUCGAUUUUAUUGACAUCAACUGCGGCUGCCCCAUUGAUCUAGUUUUUAAA